UCCCUGGUAGUCCAGUGGUUAAGACUCUGCACUUCCAGUGCAAGGGGCAUGGGUUUGAUCCCUGGUCAGAGAA
rnacentral:tRNA from 1 species